rnacentral:tRNA from 1 species
UAUUCAGUGGCGAAGCUGGUUAACGCACCCUGUCUAGCGAAUGGAAGAGACGUGGGUUCAAACCCCAUCAGAACAA